rnacentral:rRNA from 1 species
UACGUAGGGUGCGAGCGUAAUCGGAAUUACUGGGCGUAAAGCGUGCGUAGGCGGUUCGUUAGUGCGUCGGUGAAAGCCCCGGGCUCAACCUGGGAAUGGCGAUGGAAACUGGCGGGCUGGAGUAUGGCAGAGGGGGGGUGGAAUUCCGCGUGUAGCAGUGAAAUGCGUAGAGAUGCGGAGGAACACCGAUGGCGAAGGCAGCCCCCUGGGCCAAUACUGACGCUCAGGCACGAAAGCGUGGGGAGCAAACAGG